rnacentral:lncRNA from 1 species
UGAGUCUGUACGCCCUAACCCUAACCCUAUCCCCUCCCUAUCUGGCUACGAGGGUCCUUAGCCUCGGUAGGGCAGUCCCUGCAACUGAGUGGCUGUCAGGAGGUGUCUGUCCCGUCUCUCUCUUCCUCUUUCCCUCCGUUCUCUGAGCGAGUGCCCUAAGACAGUGAAGCUGUCGCAGCCAGGAGGUGACAGCAUCCCGCCGGAGAGGGACGGGGACCGCCGGCAGCGGGAGCUGCCGUAGGAUCUAUCUGGUGGGAGAGCCGUAUCCUACCCGGCUGAGAGCGGGGUCGGCUGCGGGUCGAGUCUGUCUCUUGCUCCUCGAAGCUGCUCGGAGAGGUGGAUGCCUGUUGUCUGAUUUGGGGCUCUGAAUUUGGAACAGUUUUUGGUUAUAUGCUUCCUGAAACUUGGAGAAUACCUGCAAUAAAUAGGAUUGGCCAUGAGAAUUUGUAACAUUCCUAUGGAAAUACAGUGAUGGGGCCGCUGAGAAGUUACCCUCUUUUGUACAGGAACCCAACCACAAAACCACAUGUCUCCAAGACAUUCUUCUGGAUGAAGAACUUGGCAUACCUUUGUCCUCAAAAUACAGUUUGUAUUUUUGAGCCUCAUGAGCUGUGUGUGGGCCCUGAGUUCGAUGACAUCCCGUCUCAAGAUGCUGCUAAUACAGUAGCUAAUUAUUCCUAGCUGAAGAAGUCUAACGAAAGCAA